GCAUAUCAAUAAGCGGAGGAAAAGAAAAUAACAAUGAUUUCCCUAGUAACGGCGAGUGAAGAGGAAAGAGCUCAAAGUUGGAAACUGUUUGGCUUAGCUAAACCGUAUUGUAAACUGUAGAAACAUUUUCCUGGCACACCAGAUUAAUAAGUCCUUUGGAACAAGGCAUCAUGGAGGGUGAGAAUCCCGUCUUUGAUCUGAGUAGUUGUCUUUUGUGAUAUGUUUUCAAAGAGUCAGGUUGUUUGGGAAUGCAGCCUAAAUUGGGUGGUAAAUCUCACCUAAAGCUAAAUAUUUGCGAGAGACCGAUAGCGAACAAGUACCGUGAGGGAAAGAUGAAAAGAACUUUGAAAAGAGAGUUAAACAGUAUGUGAAAUUGUUAAAAGGGAACCGUUUGGAGCCAGACUGGUUUGCCUGUAAUCAACCUAGAAUUCGUUUUGGGUGCACUUGCAGGCUAUACCUGCCAACAACAGUUUGAUUUGGAGGAAAAAAUUAGUAGGAAUGUAGCCUCUCGAGGUGUUAUAGCCUACUAUCAUACUCUGGAUUGGACUGAGGAACGCAGCGAAUGCCUUUAGGCAAGAUUGCUGGGUGCUUUCGCUAAUAAAUGUUAGAAUUUCUGCUUCGGGUGGUGCUAAUGUUUAAAGGAGGAACACAUCUAGUAUAUUUUAUCUAUUCGCUUAGGUUGUUGGCUUAAUGACUCUAAAUGACCCGUCUUGAAACACGGACC
rnacentral:rRNA from 1 species